UUGGCCAAUAUAACACAAGGCGGGAAUUUUUUGUCGAAUUUGCUGAAGACGCAGCACUGACUGCAGGACACAGUCAUUUGCAGGAACACCUGAAAGAACAAAUAAAUAAUAAAGUUUAAAGUUAAAUAGCGGGCCAGCUGCACAAGAGGCCAGACAGGCGUUAAAGCAGGCGGGAAGAGAGUCGUCGUGAAAGACCCAGAGUACGCUGGGACAGUAACACUAGCAGGCAGGUGGUUAUGAAGCAGACGAGGAGGGGGAAGAGUCGAGGCCACAGGAGUAACUUUACGCUGGUCUACGUGGAGUUUAAUAGGAUUGCUUGUAAGAACUUGAAAAGGGAAUUUUAUGACACCCCUGACCAACAUGAUGAUGAACCUCUUGAUGAACCUUCUGAAGCAACAAAGCUAUCAGAGCCAACUGAAAAACUGAACUUUGGUGCUUCAAGGACUACCCCUUUGGUUUGGAGAUGACUCUCCUGCUUUCUUUAAAAUGUGUUUGAUGUCCGAUGAUCACAGCUCAAUUCUUGAUCUGCCAGUGGGGAUUUUGAUAGUUGAAGAUGGGACAAGAUGGGUCUCCCUCUUCGAUUGGAAUCAUAAUCGAGG